rnacentral:rRNA from 1 species
GCUACACGAAGAACCUUACCUGGGUUUGACAUAGAGGUAGUUAGGGAAGCGAAAGCGACGACCUUCGGGAGCCUCUACAGGUGUUGCAUGGCUGUCGUCAGCUCGUGUCGUGAGAUGUUCGGUUAAGUCCGCUAACGAGCGCAACCCUCGCUGUGUGUUACAAGUGUCACACGGUACUGCCGAUAUUAAGUCGGAGGAAGUGGGAUGACGUCAAGUCAGCAUGACCUUUAUAUCCAGGGCUACACACACGCUACAAUGGCCAGUACAAUGGGUUGCCAAGCCGCGAGGCGGGGCCAAUCCUAAAAAGCUGGCCCCAGUUCAGAUUGCAGUCUGCAACUCGACUGCAUGAAGUUGGAGUUGCUAGUAACCGCAGGUCAGCAAUACUGCGGUGAAUACGUUCCCGGGGAUU